UUUGAGGUAUAACCCGAGGUCGUGAGCGGUGGUCGGAGGUGGUUGGCGGUAGUUGGAGGUGAUCGAGGUGGACGAGGAGGAGGACGAGAAGACCGAGGAUUUGUGCACGGUGGUUGACGGUGGUCGUGGGACGCGGUUGCCGAUGGUUGGAGGUGAUCGAGGUGGACGAAGAGGAGGAUGAGGAGGAGGACGAGGAUGACGAGGAUUUGUGCACUGAAUCGAUUGGGCGCAGUCCCAAUCCGCUGCGAGCAACGGAUAAAAAGUGAGAACCAAAAAACCAGUAUCCGAGUUUUCACCAUUUUUCAACUGGUGCUCUUUCCCUCACCAUUUCUCUGCUGUUGGUCCGCCGCACUUUCUGCUGCGUCUUCUGAGUUCCUGGAGGUCCAAUUAGCAAGAAAAGAGUCAUACAAUUUGAAUCUGAGACCGACAACUUUUCGCCCAAAAAAAUAAGUAAGGCUACCAACUAAUGCCCUAGUUUCUUAUGCUGAUGAUACUGUAGUCUUGUGUAGUAGUAGCAACUGGCAAGAAGUGUCUAUAUGUUUAUCGGACUGGCUAAAUAAGCUUGAUAUGUGGUUAAAAGUUGACCAGCUAACGCUCAACGUAGAUAAAUCAACUUUUAUUACCUUCGGUAGCUAUACUGGUAGUGUACCUAAGAUUUUGCAUUUGUACAUUAAAGAUAGUGAGUUAAAAAGAGUUGAAAGCUGUAAAUACUUAGGUGUUGUUUUUGAUUGCCAUAUGAAGUGGAUCAAUCAUAUCACUGAGUUAAUUAAAAAAGUCGAGUACUUUACUUUUCUGUUUUAUAAACUAAGUAAUUGGGUGCACCCAGCUAUACUGAAAACCAUAUAUCAUGGCCUUUUUGAAAGUGUAAUAAACUAUGGAAUUAUUGCUUGGGGUAGUGCAUAUGAUAAUACCCUAAAACCUAUAGUCAACCUUCAAAAUAAAUUGAUAAGUAAAUUGAAAAUUGCUGAUGAAUUGUUAAUACCACUGAAAAUUAAACAAUCUUCUAUUGUACAGGCUUUAACAUAUUAUUAUUCUGAAUGUAAAACGAUGUAUCUGGACAGGACGAUAAAUACACGGUCUAGACAGCUAACUCUACCAAAAAUUAAUAAAACAAUAAGUACUACCAAUGCAUUUUACGCUGCAAUAAAGUAUUUCAAUCUACUUCCCGAUGAUCUGAAAGUUCUUAGCCAAAGUAAGAGGUUAAGAAAGAAUAUUGUGAAGUGGAUCUGAACUAUUUUAUUUUAAUUAUGUGAUUAAGUCGUCAACUGUAAUGAUUAUGUAUUAGUAGUAUUGGGUAAACUUUCUUUUAUACUUUGUACACUACAUAGCUAAUAAUACCUGUAUAAACUGUAUAUGUAUGUGUGAUACCAAUUCUGGGGUCUAUGCACAGGUGCUCUUGCACCUCUAUAGAAUGUAUACCGGAAGUAAAAAUAAAUAA
rnacentral:lncRNA from 1 species